CUACAUGCUGCACUUGGAUCC
rnacentral:miRNA from 1 species